rnacentral:rRNA from 1 species
UGGGGAAUUUUUGUCAAUGGGGGAAACCCUGAACAAGCAACGCCGCGUGAAGGACGAAGACCUUCGGGUUGUAAACUUCUGUCGGAGGGGACGAAAGCGGUCGAGGCUAAUAUCCUCGGCCGUUGACGGUACCCUACGAGGAAGCCCCGGCUAACUCCGUGCCAGCAGCCGCGGUAAUACGGGGGGGGCAAGCGUUGUUCGGAAUUACUGGGCGUAAAGGGCGCGUAGGCGGGCGGGCAAGUCUCUCGUGAAAUCCCACGGCUCAACCGUGGAACUGCGGGAGAUACUGCCUGUCUUGAGUCCGGGAGAGGAGGGUGGAAUUCCCAGUGUAGCGGUGAAAUGCGUAGAUAUUGGGAGGAACACCGGUGGCGAAGGCGGCUCUCUGGACCGGUACUGACGCUGAGGCGCGAAAGCUAGGGGAGCAAACGGG